rnacentral:rRNA from 1 species
UACGUAGGGACCGAGCGUUGUCCGGAUUCAUUGGGCGUAAAGAGCUCGUAGGCGGUCUGUCGCGUCGGCUGUGAAAUCCCGAGGCUCAACCUCGGGUCUGCAGUCGAUACGGGCAAACUGGAGUGUUGCAGGGGAGACUGGAAUUCCUGGUGUAGCGGUGAAAUGCGCAGAUAUCAGGAGGAACACCGGUGGCGAAGGCGGGUCUCUGGGCAACAACUGACGCUGGAGGAGCGAAAGCGUGGGGAGCGAACAGG